rnacentral:rRNA from 1 species
UACGAAGGUGGCAAGCGUUGUUCGGAUUCACUGGGCGUACAGGGUGUGUAGGCGGUUCGGUAAGCCCUCUGGGAAAGCUCUGGGCUCAACCCAGAAAGGUCAGGGGGGACUGCCGGGCUAGAGUAUGGGAGAGGAGCGCGGAAUUCCCGGUGUAGCGGUGAAAUGCGUAGAUAUCGGGAGGAAGGCCGGUGGCGAAGGCGGCGCUCUGGAACAUUACUGACGCUGAGACACGAAAGCGUGGGGAGCAAACAGG